rnacentral:rRNA from 1 species
UGGCGAACGGGUGAGUAACACGUGGGUGAUCUGCAUUGCACUCUGGGAUAAGCUUGGGAAACUGGGUCUAAUACCGGAUAGGAACCGUCUUUAGUGUGGUGGUUGGAAAGUCUUUUCGGUGCAAGAUGAGCUCGCGGCCUAUCAGCUUGUUGGUGGGGUAAUGGCCUACCAAGGCGUCGACGGGUAGCCGGCCUGAGAGAGUGUACGGCCACAUUGGGACUGAGAUACGGCCCAG